rnacentral:rRNA from 1 species
GACGAACGCUGGCGGCGUGCUUAACACAUGCAAGUCGAACGCUGAAGCUUGGUGCUUGCACUGGGUGGAUGAGUGGCGAACGGGUGAGUAAUACGUGAGUAACCUGCCCUUGACUCUGGGAUAAGCCUGGGAAACUGGGUCUAAUACUGGAUACGACAUGCCACUGCAUGGUGGUGUGUGGAAAGGGUUUUACUGGUUUUGGAUGGGCUCACGGCCUAUCAGCUUGUUGGUGGGGUAAUGGCCUACCAAGGCGACGACGGGUAGCCGGCCUGAGAGGGUGGCCGGCCACACUGGGACUGAGACACGGCCCAGACUCCUACGGGAGGCAGCAGUGGGGAAUAUUGCACAAUGGGCGGAAGCCUGAUGCAGCGACGCCGCGUGAGGGAUGACGGCCUUCGGGUUGUAAACCUCUUUCAGCACGGAAGAAGCGAGAGUGACGGUACGUGCAGAAGAAGCGCCGGCUAACUACGUG